UUUUUUUUUUUUUUUUUUUUUUGUUCCAAGCAUAGUAGGCCCUCAGUUAAUGUUUAUCAACUAUUUAUUUUUUCCUUUACUAGUGUUGUAUAAAACUCUUUGCUCCAGCAACCAUACAGUAAUUUAAGCCAGACUGCUACUCCAGCUUCUGGCUCCUAGCCAAAAAAAAAAAAAAUAGGCCUUGAGGUGGGUGCAGUGACCUAGUCAUAUAAUCCUGGCACUUCAGAGAGAGGCUAGUGAGGUAAAAUCAUGAGUUCAAGGCUAGCUGAGACUAUGUAGGAUGUAAGACCCUUUCUCAGAUAAGUAAAACAAAAAAAGAAAAGCAGAACUAUGCCUUCACAUUGUUUAAAAAAUGUUGCACACUGCUUUCAUCAUAAACAAAGCCUUUGCCAAGGAUGAGAAUAUAUUAGGAUGAGAAUAUAUUUGAAUUAUGUACAGGUCAGAUUGCAAAUUCUUAUUUCUACUGGAAUUUUUGUUUUCCUUGAAAUUUCAGACAGAUCAUAUCAACACAGUAUUUUAUACACCUAUGCUAGAAAUGUAAUUAUAUUAUUUUCAUCUUUUGCUGUUAAUUAACAUCUAUCUUGUAGCACUCUUUAUGUUCCACAAAUUGCUUCCUAAAUGUUCAGUCCUCAUUUGUAUUAUUUUCUGAGCUGUGUUGAACUGGGCUGCCCACACCUUCAUUUGACUCUUGACUUCUUCUUUGCACCAACUGGUCUACCACAUCCUCUCCCCAAACCAUCACCAACCCCACAGUUUUUGUUUUGUUUGUUUUGUUUUUUUAAAACAUCCCUUUAAUCAUAUCUUUUCCUAUAAACCAUGCAUUCCCACCAGAUAAAGGCCUAAGCUCCUUGGUGUGGCCUUGACUCAAAAGUCCUUGGAGCUGAGAGCAUUGUUAGCUUAAUCUCCAGUCACAAUAAAUAGCUACCCCUUCCUGUGUCACCCCAGCUCUGCUCUGCCUGCAAAUCCGUUGCUCUGACCUAGAAUGUGGUCAUUUUCUUGUGGUGGGCUGUCUCCAUCUUUAGCCGCCACCUCUCUCACCAUCUGCACACGCAGAUAACCAAAACCUAGGUCAUCCCUACUUGGGUGUGUCCAGGGCACUUGCCAAAUGAAUGAAUGCUUCCAGCUUAGCACUUAGCAGCAUCAGCUCCCUGCCUCUCUCUCUGCACAGAGAACAAAGAAAAGAUGUGCGGUGCACAGUGCUGUUAUGAACUUGCUAGGUAUUACAGCCCUGAGCGCGUGUGUUUUACAACUACAUAGCUGAAUUCUCGUGAGUGGAGAUGUGGUUGAGGUUCAGUAGAGUCCUGAACUUACUUAUGCUGUUUUCUGAGAGGAAAUAAUUUCCUUGCUUCUUGCUUCUGCUAACUACUCGCUUGUUGCUAUUGUUGUUGUUGUUGUUAAUCCUGGGAUGGGGUGUGCAGGUCAGGGGACAACUUUGGCUUGGGUUCUCCCUCUCUAGCUUUAUGUGGGUUCCAGGAACCAGACUCAAGUAGAUAACAUGUGCAGCAAGCUGUUUUUACCUACUGAGCCAUCUCACAGUCCAGUCACAACAGUACCCAGUUUACUUCAUGAAACUGUGUUCUGAGCGCUAGAGCUGGUGUGUUUGUUUAUUUGUUUGUUUUGUCAUUGUUGGUUUUUGUUUUUUGUUUUUGUUUUUUUUUUUCUUCUUCCCAGACAGGGUUUCACUGUAUAGCCUUGGAUGUCCUGGACCUCCAAGCUCUAAAGACCAAGCUUCCAGGAACUCACAGAGAUCCCCAUGCCUCUGCCUCCUGAGUUCUGGGAUCAAAGGUGUGCACUACUGUGCCCCACUCUGUUAUUUUGUUUUUGUUUUUAUCAUUUUGUAUUGUUUGGUUUUAGAAUAAUUAUUUUCAAACUUGCCUACUAUAGCUCCUGCAUUGAAAUCCAAAGGCCCUGCUUUGGGAAAGGCCAAACAUUUACCUCUCUUUAGUCUGUUUUCUGCUGCUCUAACAAUAUACCCAAGGCUGAGUACCGGAAGAGGAAUGCAUGUUUCUCGGUACUGAGCAGUCUGGGAGCACUGUGCAGUCAUUUGCUUGGUGUCUGGUGAAGGCUGCAUGGUACAUCCUAAGAAUCACUGGAUAGCAGGGGAUACUGCGCAGUGAGAGCACUCAGAGACCUGCCAUUCUAAGUGCUAAUUUCUUCCUUUAUAGGGGCCACACCUUUAUGACAUCAUUCCAUCCCGUUAGUACCAUUAGUGGAUGAAAUUGAGGAUGCAGGCUCUAACACAUAAGUCUGGGGGUGUCACACUCAAACCAUAGCAAGGAAGCCUCAACUGCCUCGCUCUUCUUUCUCUUUUGGCCUAUACAUGGAUGGAGAUGCUGAGAACAGUGUGGAAAAGGGCACGUUUGCCUCUCCCAGCAAACAGCACUGAGCUAGCUUUACCAGGUUCUUCUCAGGUCCUUCUCAGGUCUGUUUCUAGUCACAUGAUACUAUUUGAUUGUCACUUUAGCAAGGUAUAUGCAAUCGUACCUGGUCUUCGAUUUAACCAGCCCAGAGCUUAUUUUUCAAACACUGAAAGUCCUAGAUUCGUGUCGAUGGAGUGAUUUGAUUUUUACAGUGCUGCAAAUCUAAGAUAUAGCUGUAGUUUUCAGGUUUAUCACCAUGACACUAAAGUAUAGUCAAGG
rnacentral:lncRNA from 1 species